GAAGACUUUCUUUCUUAACAAAAUAACCCCCAAAAAGUCCUCUCUCUCUCUGUUUCUUCCCUCAAAACGCUUCUCAGCUAUUAAGAGUUCUAGAAUGAUUCAUGUAUCAGUGAUUGAUAGUCAAUAUGGAGUCCGGAACCAAUCAGGGAAGGGCUUCCCUGAUUGGUCAGAAAUUAGCUUUGGCGCUCUUCAAUCUAAAUCGGCUCAUACAGAGGCAGACGCAGUCUACUUAUAACAGAUAUUCUCGCUGAGCAUUUCACUCAAUAAUAGCUGACCAGGCCAUUUUUAACAAAUUACGCUCAAAUAAUAGCUCUUAAAUCUUACCUUCAGCACCUGCUUUACUGACUUGUACAUGAAUUCACCGUAAGACACUUUGAAGAAAAGUGUCUGUUUAACAGUAACUAUGACAUGUCGAGUCUACUGCUGAAGCUCUACAGAAAAUGACAUGAAGCUCUCUGAGGUAGACAGUCAUGGUGAAAAUAUUACUGUAAGAGUAUGCGUUGGAAGACCUUUUAAAGAAGAAGGUAAGUCACAAUUGCAUUCUAGUCAACGUUAGAACUGAUGCAUGAAAAAAUGAAAUGAAAAUAUUGGCAUGUUGAAAUGUUUGCAGAAAUGAGAAAAAUUUUGAUUUUAAAAAAGGGUAACCUAUUUCAUCUGUCUUGCAGCUCAGUGUUCACACACUACAUUUACACCAGAUGUUACUACAGGUAAUGAACCAUCUCUGAUAUCAAUUACAAAGACAUCUACAUUCUAUGAUAUGAACAUUUCCAGUGAAGUGAAAACCAUCCAGUGAGACAAUAUCUCCCUGUUUCCCAGCUCAAGAAUCCUGUCGCUACAACUGUGGGAACCACCUGGGAAGCUGUUCUUGCGACUACUCCUGUCAAUACUACGGCAACUGUUGCUAUGACUACUACUCUCAGUGUUACGAUACAAGUACAACAGAUGUUCCUACAGGUAAUGAACAUUGUGUUUAUCAUGCAUCUUGUAACUUGCACUUCAAGACUUUCUGUACAAAAUCAAACUAACGUGUUUGUCUCUUCUUGAAAUAAUGUCAAUUUUAGGGUUUCCCAUGACACCAUGCACUGGUCACCCCUUUAAGCACUGUGUUUCUUUGUGUUGUGCCCUACAAGCAUUUGUUGUAUUCUCUGCGUCGGACACAAAUCCAGAAACUAACAGAUGAUUCCAUGCAUACAGUUCAAUAUUUACAAAUAUUUACAACUUGAUAAAGCUGUGCGUAAAGCUGCAUCAAUGUAUAUUUCUUAUAAUAAUAU
rnacentral:lncRNA from 1 species